GAUAAACGCUGGCGGCGUGCCUUAUGCAUGCAAGUCGAACGAUCCUUCCCGCAAGGGAAGGGUAGUGGCAAACGGGUGAGUAAUACGUAGGUAACCUGUCCCUAAGCGGGGGAUAACUCCGGGAAACUGGGGCUAAUACCGCAUGUGGUUAUUUAUCGCAAGGUUAAUAACUAAAGUCGUAAGACUCUUGGGGAGGGGCCUGCGUCUGAUUAGCUAGUUGGUGGGGUAAAGGCCUACCAAGGCGAUGAUCGGUAGCUGGUCUGAGAGGAUAUCCAGCCACACGGGGACUGAGACACGGCCCCGACUCCUACGGGAGGCAGCAGCAAGGAAUUUUGCGCAAUGGGCGAAAGCCUGACGCAGCGACGCCGCGUGUGGGAUGAACGCCUUCGGGUCGUAAACCACUUUUCUCAGGGAGGAAUAAAUGACAGUACCUGGGGAAUAAGUCACGGCUAACUACGUGCCAGCCGCCGCGGUAAUAC
rnacentral:rRNA from 1 species